rnacentral:misc_RNA from 1 species
GUGCUACAACGGUAUCGGAGGGGGGAAGUGUCACCUAAAUCCACGGCACAAAUCUCUCCUACCAGUACAUCAGAAUCAGAGUCAGAUUCAAACUCUACCAACUCCACUCCACCUCGAAAAUUCAGAUCAUUGCAGGAAAUCUACAAUGAAACCAGAGAAGUCGAAGCAGAGAUUGGGUUGUGUUUCUUGUCGAUGGAGGAGCCAACACAAUUUGAGGAAGCAAAUCGCAAUCAAAAUUGGCGACAAGCAAUGGAGAUGGAGAUUGAGUCAAUUCAGAAGAAUGAAACUUAGGAGCUUGCCAAUUUGCCUAAGAAUCACAAAGCUGUAGGGCUCAAAUGGAUUUAUAAACUGAAGAAAGAUCCAAAUGGAAAGAUAAUCAAGCAUAAAGCCCGACUUGUAGCAAAGGGCUAUGUGCAGAAAUAUGGAGUCGAUUACAAAGAGGUGUUUGCUCCAGUUGCGAGGAUUGAGACGGUAAGAACAAUUCUUGCAUAUGCAGCACAAAGGCAAUGGAAAGUUCAUCAUAUGGACGUCAAAACAGCAUUUCUAAAUGGUGAACUUGAAGAGGUGGUGUACGUGCUGCAGCCUGAAGGAUUUAUUGACAAGAAUCAUCCGCAGAAGGUGCUUAGACUGUAUAAGGCCUUGUAUGGCCUAAAGCAGGCCCCAAGAGCAUGGAAUGCCAAGCUGGACCGAAGUCUCAUAUCACUAAAUUUCAGAAAAUGCCCAUUCGAGCAUGCGGUCUACAUGAAGGAAACAGAAAAUGAUGUUACUGUGGUGGGAGUAUACGUAGAUGAUCUUAUCCUCACAGGAUCAAGUGCAACUUUAAUUGAUAAAUUCAAGCAUGAAAUGAAGAAGGUGUUCGAGAUGAGCGACUUGGGACUCCUAAGUUACUACUUGGGAAUCGAGGUGAAACAAAACUCAGAAUCUAUAACUUUAUGCCAAUCAAGUUAUGCCAGCAAGAUUCUUGAGAAAGCAGGGAUGUCGGAUUGCAAUAGCUGUCGUAUACCCAUGGAUCCAAGAUGCAAACUGAGUAAGCAUGAUGAGGAACCACCAGUUGAUGCUACAACAUACAGGAGCAUUAUUGGAAGUCUGCGAUAUUUGGUGAAUACCCGUCCUGAUCUAGCCUAUUCAGUUGGGGUGGUUAGCAGAUACAUGGAGUCUCCAACGACAUCACAUAUGAAUGCUGUUAAGCAGAUUCUUAGAUAUGUGAAAGGAACUCUUGAUCUUGGAAUUGUGUACAAGAAGAAUCAAGAGUGUGAGGCGCUGAUUGGGUAUAGUGACAGUGAUCUUGGAGGAGAUACAGAUGACAGGAAGAGCACAACUGGAAUUUUAUUUUUCCUUGGUGAAAGUCCAAUCACUUGGGUUUCACAAAAACAGAGAAUUGUUGCACUUUCGUCAUGCGAAGCCGAGUACAUUGCAGCAACAGGAGGUACAUGUCAAGGAAUAUGGCUUACAAAGAUAAUUGCAAGUUUAAGAGGCAAUAAUCAAGUCAAACCUAUUCUAAAGAUAGACAACAAGUCAGCAAUCUCGUUAGCCAACAAUCCAGUACAUCAUGAAAGAAGUAAACAUAUCGACACAAGGUUCCACUUCAUUCGUGAUGCUAUAAAAAAUGGAGAUGUCAAGAUAGAUUACACCAGAACAGAAGUACAACUGGCAGAUAUUCUGACUAAACCGUUGGGAAGACAGAGAUUUCUGGAGCUAAGGUACAAGAUAGGAGUCAAGCAAGUUUAAGGGGGUGAUUGUUACCGUUAUAAACUUGCUGAAUAAAUUUAAAUGUUGCUGUCAUUGUUUUUGAUUGAGUUUAUUUGUUAUUUCUUCUGCUAGUAUGUAGGAGUAGUGGACAAUAAAAGUGGAGCUGAAACAGUCCAUGUAGAAACUAUUUUUAAGCAUAAUAAUUGCUGAUUUUUCUGUAACAAACUCUCUCUACAGACUAUAAAGAGGGGAGUAAUUUAGAGGUUUGAAAUAUAAAAAAGUCUAAUAACAAAAAUAGCAAAAAAGUUUUUUUUCCUCUAUCUGCUGUUGUUUGAUUUCUUUUUUUGCUGUUUUAGUUCUAAUAUUCAUGGUGCUAUCCAAUCUGUCCAUUGUGUCUCUGACAUGUUCAUGCUGUCUUCAACAUGCUCAUGGCGUCAUAUCCGACCUAUUCAUGGUGUCUCUGACAUGUUCAUGGAGUUAUAUCCGACUUGUUCAUGGUUGCUAUCUGAUCUGUCUGUGGUGCUCUUUGACCUUCUCACAGUGUCUCUAACUCGUUCAUGGAGUCGUAUUCGACCUGUUCAUGGUGCCUUCGACCUGUCAUGGUAUUCCCAACCUGUCAUGGUGCUUUCCGACCUAUCGUAUUACUUUCUGACUGUUCAUGGCACUCGUUAGCUCAUACUCCAACUGAGCUCAUGUAGUUGAUCAAGUCGUCAAGGCCUCUUUUGAGUAGAUUGUCAUAGUGGUGGUCGGGC